rnacentral:rRNA from 1 species
AGAGUUUGAUCCUGGCUCAGAAUGAUCGUUGGCGGCGUGGAUUAGGCAUGCAAGUCGAGCGAGAACCGGUUUCGGCCGGGGACAGCGGCGAACGGCGUAGUAAUGCAUCGGAACGUACCCUCUGGUCGGGGAUAGCUACGGGAAACUGUAGGUAAUACCCGAUGAUCUCUGCGGAGCAAAGGUGAGAUUCCGCCGGAGGAGCGGCUGAUGUGAUAUUAGCUAGUUGGUGGGGUAAUGGCCUACCAAGGCGAUGAUGUCUAGGGGGUGUGAGAGCAUGGCCCCCACGACCGGAACUGAGAUACUGUCCGGACACCUACGGGUGGCUGCAGUCGAGAAUCUUCCGCAAUGGACGAAAGUCUGACGGAGCGACGCCGCGUGCGGGAUGAAGGCCCUUGGGCUGUAAACCGCUGUCAGAGGGGAUGAAAUCUUCGGAGGUACUCCUCCGAAGUUGACAGAGCCUCAAAGGAAGCACGGGCUAAGUACGUGCCAGCAGCCGCGGUAACACGUACUGUGCGAACGUUAUUCGGAAUCACUGGGCUUAAAGGGUGCGUAGGCGGCGAAUCAAGUCAGGUGUGAAAGGCCUGAGCUCAACUGAGGCAUUGCGCUUGAAACUGAUUUGCUUGAGUAUCCCAGGGGUGUGCGGAACUGCCAGUGGAGCGGUGAAAUGUGUUGAUAUUGGCAGGAACACCGGAGGCGAAAGCGGCACACUGGGGGAUAACUGACGCUGAGGCACGAAAGCCAGGGGAGCGAACGGGAUUAGAUACCCCGGUAGUCCUGGCUGUAAACGA